ACGGGUGAGUAACACGUGGGAACGUACCUUUUGGUUCGGAAUAACUCAGGGAAACUUGAGCUAAUACCGAAUGUGCCCUUCGGGGGAAAGAUUUAUCGCCAUUAGAGCGGCCCGCGUUAGAUUAGCUAGUUGGUGGGGUAAAGGCCCACCAAGGCUACGAUCUAUAGCUGGUCUGAGAGGAUGAUCAGCCACAUUGGGACUGAGACACGGCCCAAACUCCUACGGGAGGCAGCAGUGGGGAAUCUUGCGCAAUGGUCGAAAGACUGACGCAGCCAUGCCGCGUGAAUGAUGAAGGUCUUAGGAUUGUAAAAUUCUUUCAGUAGGGACGAUAAUGACGGUACCUACAGAAGAAGCCCCGGCUAACUUCGUGCCAGCAGCCGCGGUAAUACGAAGGGGGCUAGCGUUGCUCGGAAUUACUGGGCGUAAAGGGAGCGUAGGCGGGUUAUCAAGUUGGAGGUGAAAGCCCAGGGCUCAACCUUGGAAUUGCCUUCAAAACUGAUAGCCUAGAGUAUGAUAGAGGUAAGUGGAACUCCGAGUGUAGAGGUGAAAUUCGUAGA
rnacentral:rRNA from 1 species